UACGUAGGGUGCGAGCGUUGUCCGGAAUUAUUGGGCGUAAAGAGCUUGUAGGCGGUUUGUCGCGUCUGCUGUGAAAAUCCGGGGCUCAACCCCGGACUUGCAGUGGGUACGGGCAGACUAGAGUGUGGUAGGGGAGACUGGAAUUCCUGGUGUAGCGGUGAAAUGCGCAGAUAUCAGGAGGAACACCGAUGGCGAAGGCAGGUCUCUGGGCCACUACUGACGCUGAUAAGCGAAAGCAUGGGGAGCGAACAGG
rnacentral:rRNA from 1 species